GUUAUGUAGCCUAAGAUAAAAAUAGUAAUAUCAGUUUUUCCCCUUUUUAGGUGGCAGGAGUAAAAAAAUUAGUCCUCAACAUUUCUUGUGUUCUGGUUUCAAAAUGAUGAAGACAGGAGAACAGUCAGA